rnacentral:rRNA from 1 species
GACGAACGCUGGCGGCGUGCUUAACACAUGCAAGUCGAACGGAAAGGCCCUGCUUUUGUGGGGUGCUCGAGUGGCGAACGGGUGAGUAACACGUGAGUAACCUGCCCUUGACUUUGGGAUAACUUCAGGAAACUGGGGCUAAUACCGGAUAGGAGCUCCUGCUGCAUGGUGGGGGUUGGAAAGUUUCGGCGGUUGGGGAUGGACUCGCGGCUUAUCAGCUUGUUGGUGGGGUAGUGGCUUACCAAGGCUUUGACGGGUAGCCGGCCUGAGAGGGUGACCGGCCACAUUGGGACUGAGAUACGGCCCAGACUCCUACGGGAGGCAGCAGUGGGGAAUAUUGCACAAUGGGCGGAAGCCUGAUGCAGCAACGCCGCGUGCUGGAUGACGGCCUUCGGGUUGUAAACCGCUUUCGCCUGUGACGAAGCGUGAGUGACGGUAAUGGGAAAAGAAGCACCGGCUAACUACGUG